ACACACACACGUGCAAGUGCAGCAUGUUAUCAAUAUUGUUUCUCGCAGUGGUAGCUAUCAUGGUGGUGUGCACCAAUUACUCAGCCUGGAGCGUGGUCGCGACAGCAGAGGAAAAGCAACAUGGCUCACAACACUAUGGAUCAAAAGCUGUCGGCCUGCCUUUUGUAUGGGUCUGCUGAGGAUUUCCCAGCUGGAGGAAAUGCAUGGAUGUGCCAACCUUCCUCCAUCUCCAUACACAGAUCAGCGGCAUCAUUAUGUACGUGGCCCUCAGACAUACUGGUUCAUCCCUCAACCUUCACGUCACCUCGGCUAAAUGGCAAGGGAACCUCCCCUCGAUGUAGACGCAUGAUAGCAGACUCUGAAUCAGCUCAGAGGCGGUUUUUUUUUUUUUUUUU